rnacentral:rRNA from 1 species
UAUACGCGCGAUUCGCCUUUAAGUUGAUCCUGGCUCAGGAUGAACGCUAGCGGUGCGCCUAACACAUGCAAGUCGAGCGCCUGUCGCAAGACAGGAGCGGCGAACGGGUGCGUAACACGUUGGUACUCACCUCGAACUCGGGGAUAACCUCGCGAAAGCGAGGCUAAUACCGGAUGAUCCCGAAAGGGUAAAGAUUUUUCGGUUCGAGAGAGGCCUGCGGAGUAUCAGUUAGUUGGCAGGGUAAUGGCCUACCAAGACUACGACGCUUAGCUGAUCUGAGAGGAUGAUCAGCCACAAUGGAACUGAGACACGGUCCAUACUCCUACGGGAGGCAGCAGUGAGGAAUCUUCCGCAAUGGGCGAAAGCCUGACGGAGCGACACCGCGUGGAGGACGAAGGCCUUUUGGUUGUAAACUCCUUUUUUGAGGGAAUAAUUGAUGAAGUUACCUCAAGAAUAAGCACCGGCUAACUACGUGCCAGCAGCUGCGGUAAUACGUAGGGUGCAAGCGUUAUCCGGAAUUAUUGGGCGUAAAGCGUUCGCAGGCGGUUCUGUAAGUCUGUGGUUAAAUCUGACUGCUCAACGGUCAACAUGCCACAAAAACUGCAGGGCUAGAGGAUGACAGAGGCAACUGGAAUUCUGCGUGUAGGGGUAAAAUCCGUUGAUACGCAGAGGAACACCAAAAGCGAAGGCAGGUUGCUGGGUCAUUUCUGACGCUGUUGAACGAAAGCGUGGGUAGCAAACAGGAUUAGAUACCCUGGUAGUCCACGCUGUAAACGAUGGAUACUCGGUGUAAGGAGGAAUCGACCCCUCUUUGUGCCUAAGCAAACGCGUUAAGUAUCCCGCCUGGGAAGUACGGUCGCAAGAUUAAAACUCAAAGGAAUAGACGGGGACCCACACAAGCGGUGGAACAUGUGGUUUAAUUCGACGAUAAACGAGGAACCUUACCAAGGCUUGACAUCUCCAGAAUCUCUGAGAAAUCAGAGAGUGCCGCAAGGAACUGGAUGACAGGCGCUGCAUGGUCGUCGUCAGCUCGUGCCUUGAGGUGUUCGGUUAAGUCCGUGAACGAGCGCAACCCAUAUGCUGUGUUGUAUUUUCACAGCAGACUGCCGACUUCAAGUCGGAGGAAGGUAUGGAUGACGUCAGAUCAGCAUGGCCCUUAUGCCUUGGGCCACACACGUGUUACAAUGGUCGGUACAAUGGGCUGCGAACCCGUAAGGGGGAGCCAAUCCCAUCAAAGCCGAUCUCAGUUCGGAUUGAGGGCUGAAAUUCGUCCUCAUGAAGUUGGAAUCGCUAGUAACCGUAAAUCAGACAUGUUACGGUGAAUAUGUUCCUGGGUCUUGUACUCACCGCCCGUCAUAUCAUGAAAGGUGGGAGUAUCCGAAGUCGCCUUAGCCCUUUGGGGCGGGCGCCUAAGGUAAAACCGCUGAUUGGGAUAAAGUUAUAAGAAGGUAACC